AAAGAAAGCAUUGUAUCUCUCCUGAGGGCUCCACGUCGGAUGCCACGUCGGAAAUAGAGUCUCUCUCGCGCUGACACGUCAGAUCCGCAGCGUAUCAUUUAAGUGUGAUCCGGUUGUUACGGGCUUGGCAUUUGGGCUUCAUGCUAUGUCCGUACGCGGCCCGACUACCACAAUCUCCUCCUGGUAGAACCCUAAUCAUCCUCUACGCUCGCCUUCGUGAUCUCCGCUCUCCUUCGAUCGGCGCAGCUGCGCUCCAUCUUCUGUAACGGUUCUUCGAUAAUUAAUGGACUUAAAUCGUCUUAAAUCACCACUGCGAAGCUUCCUCCUGCGCUGCUCCUCUGCUAUAAAAAGAUCUCACCGGUACGUAUCGCGUUACCUACACUUUAGUACUCUCACGACUCAUUGAUACUCGAAUCUGACCCACCGCUCAGUUUGCAUUGCGGUUGUGUCAGCGAUCUCUUCUCAAUGCACAGAUCAUAGUGGCGUUGUGUCUUGCAGCGGCGAUUGAUGAUGUGGAGGAUCCGGUUCGGUUAAGGCAUGUGUUUCUUUCUAGGCUGAAGAGAGGUGAUGAAUCAGAAGAUGAACAGACCUGACUUUGUAGUAUCCAACUCAGCAUACUUUGAUUGGUUGGUUCCCCUCUCAUAUUCAUCAUCAAAUUGCUUUCUGCAGUCUCCAAUCAAAUAGUCCUAAGGAGAAGAAGAGAUACAGCCAUAAACAAGCAUUGGAUAUUGACGAUGCAAACACCGUCUCUAUCACCAUCAAUCAUCUGCCACCUCCAAUCAGUUUAGGACUUUACUAGGAUUCUGGACUUCUUAAAGAUUGCGGCACAACACCAGCUACACCGGUUUAACUUAGGAAAGCAUCUGAAAACCUGGAAACUCCUCAACGUGGAAAACAAUUUACAUCUUCCCAGUUUGAUUCUUGGAUCUCCAGUUACUCUGAUGUAGUGUUUCACUUGGAUGAGAAAACACCUGAAGCCUAUGGAGAGGAGGUUUCAGAGCAAACUCCUAGCAGUUGCAUAACGUAUUCCCAAAACAGUGCAAAGAUCUCCACUGGAUAUAGCCAUGCUGGUGAAGAAAGCUAAGGAAGCAUUGGUGCUGCAUUCAGGGAUGGGGUGGAUAUAACUAGGCACCAAGUUGCCACUGACAGCAACGGGAAAGAGAAAGUCAGUGCGGUUUGAAUGUGAUUUUGAUCAGUCUUACUUAUAUAUAGGUUUGGGGUGUCAUUAUUAUGGAAACGAAAGGGCGCAAGUAAGGAUUUUAGUCAUACAUCAUUUUUCUCAUAAGUCCAUUUUCCACACACCCUAUGGGCUUAUUAGCGGAGGUUCUAUUCGUUUUGUUCGCUACACGCCAUCCAAAAUGAACCUAGAAUUUAUUUAUAUAUGCUAAAUUAUCAUCUAAAAAAAAGUUU